CUCAGUCUAUUUCAAGCACAUUCUCAUCAAGAAUACCAAGAGGGAGUCAGCAAGGAAGUCUUGGUCGUGCAUGGGAAAAAGAAUUCAACAAAAAUCAUUAAUUUCGGUCUUUAGUCAAAGUCUUCAUUUCUAGUUUCUAUGUCUUGUUUUUAGAACAUUCUUCUUUGGAUUUCUACAACUUGUAAUCCUAUAAAUAAGGCCUUAGAGCCACGAAAAAGACAGAUUGUUUUUCCCUUUUUAUGUGUUUCUCUCAUUGUUCUUUGUUUAGAACACAUCUUAGUUUCUCGGUGAGGUUAUCUCCAAGUUUCGAACCUUCUUUUGUUGGACCGGUGCGUCACAUCCGGCAACGAUCGAAGUCUGGUAGUAUCUUUGGGCUAUUCCGCAACCCUUAGUGUCACUCCUCGAUCCAUCAGUUCUCAAUCCUCUCGGAUCUGAGUUCAUAUCAACCAUACCGAAAGAGUGAUCCAUAUUUUGGUUCUAUCAAGUGGUAUCAGAGCCACUCUUCCGGUAUUGUCCAUUUCAUUCAUCUUUCUCAUCUUCUAUUUUCUUAUAAACACUUCUUCUUCUACCUUUUCUUAAAUCCGGGCCCCUCAUUACCAUCCAUAUAAAAAAAAGAUCUACGAUUUGAUUCAAAAAAAAAUAUAUAGAAAAAAUUUCAAGUUUGUUUUGUGGAUUGGUGGUGGAAGAGACAGCCUGCUGGCUGAGGAGAAAUCCAGCCUUUGAGGUGGUUAAAACGGAUUUCAAAAAUCAAAAAAAAAAAAAAUUUCUUAUCUUUCUAUCUUGAGAAAUUCCCUUGUUUGCUUCGAUUUGCCCAUUGAGAUUCUUUGAUUUGUUCUCUUAGAACAUUGAGUAGA
rnacentral:lncRNA from 1 species